UAUGUCAGUAGUGAAAGCGUGUGGCUCAACCAUACUCACAUUAUUGAAACUGCUAAGCUAGAGGAUGAGAGAGGUUAUUGGAAUUCCCAGUGUAGGAGUGAAAUCCGUAGAUAUUGGGAGGAACACCGAUGGCGUAGGCAGAUAACUGGCUCAUUCCUGACACUAAGGCACGAAAGCGUGGGUAGCAAACGGGAUUAGAUACCCCGGUAGUCCACGCCGUAAACUAUGGAUGCUA
rnacentral:rRNA from 1 species